AAGAGAUUCCCACUCUGUAUGGGUGGGAAGAGGGAAGGGGAGCUUUCUGAGUACCGUGGUCCCUCCCCCUCCCCCGGCUUCACUCCUGAGUCCCUGAAGUUUUGUCCUGGAGGAUGGAGAUGGAGGGCAGGGAUGAAGGAGAUGAGAACAAAGGAUCAAGCAGCGCCUGCUUCUCUGGGGAGCAUCUGUCCUUGGCCUCACUCCACCAUAGACUUGCUGCUGGACCAUGGCUGACUUACUUCCCCUGUCACAUGUUUAGGUUUCCCACCUUGUUUCAUGGGCUCAUUAUCCUAGUAUCUGCUUGCCCUUAGGUGUUUGUGAGGGUUAGAGGUGAGAGCUACCCAAUGGGGAGUGACUUCUUCUAGGGCCUCAGUGGCAGGGCCUAGAAACACUGCCUGUGUGAGACUGCUUGGUAACACCUGUCCCCCGACCUCUGCCAGAAGAAGACACCUUUACUCAUUUGGCCCAUCUCCUUUACCAGUGCCACUCCCACUCCACCAGCCAGAGGAGAAAAGUUGACCUCUGAGGACCAGAAUGGCCUUUCCCUGGCCACUGAGUGCUCAGCCCCUGCAGGUAGCUCCUGUCUAGGUCCUGCUCCUGCUCCUGGGCCCUUCAUCAUCAGCUGGGAGGCCUCUUGACAGUUCUGUGAGUAUGUUUAUAUUGGGGCUGUGCCGUUUGCCAAGGGGGACAAGCCUAUUAUCUUUACAUUAGAGAAACUAAUAGCCCAUUUCCCAGGAAAUCUGUGAGCGAUAAAAAUAAGUGGGCCGUUUUAUUCCUUUUGCCAAGAGAAGCUAGCAUGAAGGACAGCGGAGACUUUGUUUUCUCUCUGGUUAGUGGGAGCGUCAGGGCUGGCUGCUGGCAGGCCAGGGCAGGCAGACACCCCACUGCUCCUGUCCCUGGGCAGUGCAGAGAACAUCUCCAGUUCUGAACAGGCCACAUGUGCCUCCACAACUCCUGUUCCCCUUGCUAAGAGCCCUCCUGUCCCCUCAUCCCCUCAAAAAGCUGAGCCCAGAUGUCACAUGGAGCCUACAACACACCCUUGAGUCAGUUUGCCACCCUUCCCAGGACUAGUUUCACCCAGUGCAGCAUUUCCCGUUGCGAGGUGACAGGCCUAUCCUCUAGUGGAUAAUUUAUAGUUAUCGGUUGGGGGUAUAUGGAGAAGCUAGAGCAAGAGUAACCUUGAAACUCCAGCGCGGUGGAAAACCCUGCCUCUUGGGCCACCUGCCACAAGGACCCUUCACUGUGCCCGGUUUCA
rnacentral:lncRNA from 1 species